rnacentral:rRNA from 1 species
CAGUCGCCACGGUAAUACGAAGGGGGCUAGCGUUGUUCGGAUUUACUGGGCGUAAAGCGCACGUAGGCGGAUCGAUCAGUCAGGGGUGAAAUCCCAGAGCUCAACUCUGGAACUGCCUUUGAUACUGUCGAUCUGGAGUAUGGAAGAGGUGAGUGGAAUUCCGAGUGUAGAGGUGAAAUUCGUAGAUAUUCGCAAGAACACCAGUGGCGAAGGCGGCUCACUGGCCCAUAACUGACGCUGAGGCGCGAAAGCUAGGGGAGCAAACAGGAUUAGAUACCCGAGUAGUCCCUGUCUCUUAUAC